GGAUGAGCCGUCAUAUCAUUCUAGAAUGACAGAUCUGUCUAGAAGAAGAUCAAAACUCGAGAAGAUAUAAACCUGGAGAAGAACCUGCUUCAUGAAUUUGCAAGGAUCAGCACGUAAUGGCAGAACCAAUAACAAGGAACCAUCAAAUAGAGGAAGAAGAUGAACAAGAAGAUGAAGACGAAGCAAAUGAGUAUAAUUCUGAAUGCAACAGUGAAGAUAAAAGUCAUCCAAACCAAGAUUACCUGGAUUGCAGUAGUGGUGAGAAUGAAAGUGAUGCAGAGGAAGAUUGCCUGGACCAAAAUACAGUAACUUGUGAUCAGUUGUGUGCAGAUCAUGAUUAUUCAGAGUUGCAACAAAUAGAGCAGAGUUGGCACAACUCUGUUUCAGAUGUUGUCCUAGAAAUGCUGAUAAGACAUACAAGAUGAGAUAAGACAAAAAUAUGAGACUUGAUUGUGGUGCUGACUUGCCACUGUCAGACGAA